UACGAAGGGGGCUAGCGUUGUUCGGAAUUACUGGGCGUAAAGCGCGCGCAGGCGGCCUUUCAAGUCAGGGGUGAAAGCCCGGAGCUCAACUCCGGAAUUGCCUUUGAAACUGCAAGGCUUGAGUACGGGAGAGGUGAGUGGAAUUCCCAGUGUAGAGGUGAAAUUCGUAGAUAUUGGGAAGAACACCAGUGGCGAAGGCGGCUCACUGGCCCGUAACUGACGCUCAGGCGCGACAGCGUGGGGAUCAAACAGG
rnacentral:rRNA from 1 species